AUUGAACGCUGGCGGCAGGCCUAACACAUGCAAGUCGAACGAGUGGCGGACGGGUGAGUAAUGUCUGGGAAACUGCCUGAUGGAGGGGGAUAACUACUGGAAACGGUAGCUAAUACCGCAUACCAUCAGAUGUGCCCAGAUGGGCUUAGCUAGUUGGUGGGGUAACGGCUAACCAAGGCGACGAUCCCUAGCUGGUCUGAGAGGAUGACCAUCCACCCUGUAACUUAUACACGGUCCAGACUCCUACGGGAGGCAGCAGUGGGGAAUAUUUCACAAUGGGCGUAAGCCUGAUGCAGCCAUGCCGCGUGUAUGAAGAAGGCCUUCGGGUUGUAAAGUACUUUCAGCGGGGAUGCGUUACCCGCAGAAGAAGCACCGGCUAACUCCGUGCCAGCAGCCGCGGUAAUAC
rnacentral:rRNA from 1 species